rnacentral:tRNA from 1 species
AUUGAAGUAGCAAAAAUAAUGCGCAGGAUUUAAGCUUCUGAGAUGAAAAUUAGAUUUUCCUUCAAUA